rnacentral:rRNA from 1 species
AAAAGUAUCGACCAGCGUUAAAUGUAUACUUGUGUCCCGGGAACCGGGGGGAGUUGCUUGCUAAUCCCGGGAGAGGGGCGGAGGGGUGAGUAACGCGUAGGAAUCUGCCCAUCUGAGGGGGAUACCAUUUGGAAACGACUGUUAAUACCGCAUAGUAUCUGUGGAUUAAAGGUGGCUUUUGGGCUGUCGCACAUGGAUGAGCCUGCGUUGGAUUAGCUAGUUGGUGGGGUAAGGGCCUACCAAGGCUACGAUCCAUAGCUGAUUUGAGAGGAUGAUCAGCCACAUUGGGACUGAAACACGGCCCAAACUCCUACGGGAGGCAACAGUGAGGAAUAUUGGACAAUGGGGGCAACCCUGAUCCAGCAAUGCCAUGUGUGUGAAGAAGGCCUUAGGGUUGUAAAGCACUUUAAUUGGGGAAAAAAGCUUUGAGGUUAAUAGCCUUGAGGAAGGACGUUACCCAAAGAAUAAGCACCGGCUAACUCCGUGCCAGCAGCCGCGGUAAUACGGGGGGUGCAAGCGUUAAUCGGAAUUACUGGGCGUAAAGGGUCUGUAAGUGGUUUGUUAAGUCAGAUGUGAAAGCCCCGGGCUCAACCUUGGAACUGCAUUUGAUACUGGCAAACUAGAGUACGGUAGAGGAAUGGGGAAUUUCUGGUGUAGCGGUGAAAUGCGUAUAGAUCACAAGGAACACCAAUGGCGAAGGCAACAUUCUGGACCGAUACUGACACUGAGGGACGAAAGCCUGGGGAUCAAACAGGAGUAGAUACCCUGGUAAUCCACGCUGUAAACGAUGAGUACUACCUGUUGGAGUCCGUGUAAAG